UAGUGGCUGGUUCCUUUCCGAAAUUUUCCCCUCCAGGAUAGCUGGCAUUGGUUUGUAACAAUUUUAUCCGGGUAGAGCGAAUGGAUUAGAGGUGUUGGGGAACGCCAAUUUUUCCAGCCUAUUCUCAAAAUUUGGAAAUGGGUUAAGCAAGGCGUUUUGCUUUUGAUUUUACGAUGAAAUCCGCCCCCAAUUAGAAAUGUAUAAAAUGCCUAGUGGGCCAAUUUUGGUAAGCAGAACUGGCCGAUGUGGAAUGAACCCAAAAGUCAGGUUAAGGUGCCAGACAUUGGCGCUCAUGAAAUACCAGAAAAGGGUUGGUCGAUAUAGACAGCAGGACGGUGGCCAUGGAAGUUGGAAUCCGCCAAGGAGUGUGUAACAAUUCACCUGCGGAAUCGACUAGCCCUGAAAAUGGAUAGCGUUUGAGCUCCAGGCCCAUACCUGACCGUCUCAAUUACGCACUUUUUUUUCGGAAAAGGUGUAAUGAACGUUGAGACGGGUAGGAAGGUCGCGACAGUGUUGCUUUGAAGAGUUUUGAGCGUGAGCUCGCUCGGAGCCGCUGUUGGUGCAGAUCUUGGUGGUAGUAGCAAAUAUUCAAGUGAGAACCUUGAAGGCUGAAGUGGAGCAAGGUUCCAUGUGAACAGCAGUUGGACAUGGGUCAGUCGAUCCUAAGAAAACGGCGAAAGCUUGUUCGAAUUUGCGACAUGAAUUGUAAGACUGAAUAAUUAUUUGUGUGUGUGUUGUGGUGGAGGCGAUUGUGUCGUCACCAGUUGUUGUUGUGUGCAGUUGUCGUAUGUUUUGAAAGGAAUCCACCACAGUGCGA
rnacentral:ncRNA from 1 species